AUUAUGCAUGUUUCUUUGAAUUUUAGUACAUUUAAGUCUAUUAUAAAUUAUGGUUGUUAACAUGUUUUCAUUAUGAAAUAACAGAUGGAAAAUCUUCAAAUUCAAAAUGCUUCAUCCACAGGCACUACACCAACAUCAACCAAUUCUCCAACUUCAAAAACUAACGCAGAAUCAACCACUGCAGGAUCCAUCACAGAUACAAAAGAAUUUGGUGGAAAGUUACAUCGAGCAACGAAUGAUAAUUAGUUCAAAAGUUACUUUGAUGGUUUUGAUGUCAAUGGUAUUAAGGAAUCAAAGUGCAAUGUUCUUGUCGUCUUGAUGUGCUUUUCGAUUGGGAUAAUAUGCACAAUGAAGAUUUAUAUUUUUUGCAUGAAGUGUUUUAUUUUUUAUGGCAAAGUUAUUUGUUGUUUCUUUUUAAGCCCUUUUGAAGGCAAUGCUUUGUAAUUUAAAUUGUAACUUGGU